GUACACUCCUGCGGGAGGCAGCAGUGGGGAAUAUUGGACAAUGGGCGCAAGCCUGAUCCAGCCAUGCCGCGUGAGUGAUGAAGGCCCUAGGGUUGUAAAGCUCUUUCACCGGUGAAGAUAAUGACGGUAACCGGAGAAGAAGCCCCGACUAACUUCGUGCCAGCAGCCGCGGUAAUACGAAGGGGGCUAGCGUUGUUCGGAUUUACUGGGCGUAAAGCGCACGUAGGCGGACUAUUAAGUCAGGGGUGAAAUCCCGGGGCUCAACCCCGGAACUGCCUUUGAUACUGGUAGUCUUGAGUUCGAGAGAGGUGAGUGGAAUUCCGAGUGUAGAGGUGAAAUUCGUAGAUAUUCGGAGGAACACCAGUGGCGAAGGCGGCUCACUGGCUCGAUACUGACGCUGAGGUGCGAAAGCGUGGGGAGCAAACAGGAUUAGAAACCCCAGUAGUCCC
rnacentral:rRNA from 1 species